rnacentral:rRNA from 1 species
GAUCUGGCUCAGGAUUAACGCUGGCGGCGUGCCUAAUACAUGCAAGUCGAAUGGUAGCAAUACCAUGGCGAACGGGUGAGUAACACGUAGGUAACCUGUCUUUAAGCCGAGGAUAACCAUUGGAAACGAUGGAUAAUACUGGAUAGGACAUUUGAAGGCAUCUUUAGAUGUUUAAAGAUUUAUCACUUAGAGAGGGGCCUGCGGCGCAUUAGCUAGUUGGUGAGGUGAAGGCUUACCAAGGCGAUGAUGCGUAGCCGGACUGAGAGGUUGAACGGCCACAAUGGAACUGAGAACGGUCCAUACUCCUACGGGAGGCAGCAGUAGGGAAUUUUCGGCAAUGGGCGGAAGCCUGAACCCGAGCAACGCCGCGUGAACGAAGAAGUAUUUCGGUAUGUAAAGUUCUUUUAUUAGGGACGAAAAGACAGAUUGACGGUACCUAAUGAAUAAGCUCCGGCUAACUACGUGCCAGCCGCUGC